UAUGCUAGGCCCAAGGCUGUAUUCAAUUUGUGGUUGGUGCUUCAUGAUAGGCUACCAACCAAGGAUAGGCUGCUACAUUGGGGUAUGAAUGUGGAUAACAUAUGUGUUCUGUGCCAGCAAGCUCCGGAAACCAGAGACCACCUUUUCCAUAGUUGUUCAUUUGCUACACAACUAAGGGAUCAGACACUGUCCUGGAUCAGAGAGGUUCAUUCCAGUAUGCCAAACUGGGAACAGUUUAUACAAU
rnacentral:lncRNA from 1 species